rnacentral:rRNA from 1 species
UUAGAGUUUGAUCCUGGCUCAGGACGAACGCUGGCGGCGUGCUUAACACAUGCAAGUCGAGCGGUAAGGCCUUUCGGGGUACACGAGCGGCGAACGGGUGAGUAACACGUGGGUGAUCUGCCCUGCACUUCGGGAUAAGCCUGGGAAACUGGGUCUAAUACCGGAUAUGACCUCCUAUCGCAUGGUGGGUGGUGGAAAGAUUUAUYGGUGCAGGAUGGGCCCGCGGCCUAUCAGCYUGUUGGUGGGGUAAUGGCCUACCAAGGSGACGACGGGUAGCCGACCUGAGAGGGUGACCGGCCACMCUGGGACUGAGACACGGCCCAGACUCCUACGGGAGGCAGCAGUGGGGAAUAUUGCACAAUGGGCGAAAGCCUGAKGCAGSGACGCCGCGUGAGGGAUGACGGCCUUCGGGUUGUAAACCUCUUUCAGCAGGGACGAAGCGCAAGUGACGGUACCUGCAGAAGAAGCACCGGCUAACUACGUGCCAGCAGCCGCGGUAAUAC